GACGAACCGUCCUAACGUUGUUCGGAAUCACUGGGCUUAAAGGGCGCGUAGGCGGGCUCGCGAGUCCGGGGUGAAAGCCCCCAGCUCAACUGGGGAAGCGCCUUGGAUACUGCGGGCCUCGAGGGGGGUAGGGGCGCGCGGAACUUCCGGUGGAGCGGUGAAAUGCGUAGAUAUCGGAAGGAACACCGGUGGCGAAGGCAGCUCUCUGGGACGGUACUGACGCUGAGACGCGAAAGCGUGGGGAGCGAACAGG
rnacentral:rRNA from 1 species